GUAAUAACUGUAUAAUUUAAUUUUGAUGCUUAACAUUUGAUCCCUGAGAGGACAAUAAUCCUUUUUCUUUCCACAAAGCUCCAUGGACAUGUACCACCCCAAAAGCAUACUUUGAGUCUGUCCAAAUAUUUACUUUCUUCUUUAGCUGAUUCCAGUGC